GUGCUCGCUUCGGCAGCACAUAUACUAAAUUGGAACGAUACAGAGAAGAUUAGCAUGGCCCCUGUGCAAGGAUGACAUGCGAAUUCAUGAAGCGUUCCAUAUUUUU
rnacentral:snRNA from 1 species